rnacentral:lncRNA from 1 species
AGGUCUCCGAGGGCUGCUCCGUCCCCUUCCUCCACAUGGGCGACUGCGUGGCCAGCGAGCUCAGGGAGGCGGGCUUGAGGCCGGUUGAAGCAGGAAGCAACGUCCGGAUCGGCGUUCUUGCCACUGGCUCGGCGUUGAUUGCAGCCGUCUACCAAGAGAAGGUUCAGAAUCUGGUAAGAAAACCAAAAAAAAAAUUUUCUGUCGUAGUAAAACUGUGUUUCCAUUAGUAUUCAGCAUGGUUUUUUUGUAUAUCUAGGGAAAAAUUAUUUCACCAUGGUGCAUGAUCACUAUCAUCCGCAAUGGUCUUAUGAACUUCUCCAAGGAUUUCUUUUUAUCAGUCGGAUCAUUUCCAAAAUCUUCAGCAUUAAAAAAAUCUCUCGAAUUUAUAAAAAAAGUGAGAAAAAAAGAAAACCCAUCUCUACUGUUCGUCUCGGUUUAAUCCUCAGUUUGAUCUUCAUAAUGCUUGUCUGAUAAACUUCUGAUCGGAAAAAUUAUUCAUCUUCAUAAAUGAUCUAGCCCUGCAGUCCAUUAUUAAAUCACGGAUUUACUGAAAAUGGGUUUAUUUGGUCUGCUCACCUGGGAAAUCCUGUUGGAUCUUCCUCCAGUGAAGCUUGUUGACAUCUGAAUCCGAGCUCUGAUCAUGGAAAUGACCUCUGAUCAUGAUUUCUGCAGGGAUAUGAAGCUGUUUUACCGGAUAAGGCCACGGUGGAGCACACGGUCAUACCUGCAGUUGAAGCGCUGAGCAGGAGGGACAUGGAGGGAGCAAGAACUCUGUUGAGAAUAACCCUGCAUGUUCUUCUGGUGAAGGCAGUGAACAUGAUCAUCCUUGCCUCUGAUGAUCUGCGGGGUCUCCUCCCCCAGGAUGACCCCCUCCUCAAGAGAUGCGUUGACCCAUUAGAGGCUCUAGCGAGGUCAACCAUAGAGUG